rnacentral:rRNA from 1 species
AACGCGAAGAACCUUACCUGGGCUCGAAAUGUUAUGGACCGGGGUAGAAAUAUCCCUUCCCAGCAAUGGGCUGUAAUAUAGGUGCUGCAUGGCUGUCGUCAGCUCGUGUCGUGAGAUGUUGGGUUAAGUCCCGCAACGAGCGCAACCCUUAUCUUCAGUUGCUACCAUUUAGUUGAGCACUCUGACGAAACCGCCUCGGAUAACGGGGAGGAAGGAAGGGUCGAGGUCAAGUCAUCAUGGCCCUUAUGUCCAGGGCUACACACGUGCUACAAUGGCCGGUACAAACCGUCGCAAACCCGCGAGGGGGAGCUAAUCGGAAAAAGCCGGCCUCAGUUCGGAUCGCAGUCUGCAACUCGACUGCGUGAAGCUGGAAUCGCUAGUAAUCGCGGAUCAGAACGCCGCGGUGAAUACGUUCCCGGGCCUUGUACACACCGUAGUAC